AUGAACGCUGGCGGCGUGCCUCAUACAUGCAAGUCGAGCGAACAGAUGAGGAGCUUGCUCCUCUGACGUUAGCGGCGGACGGGUGAGUAACACGUGGAUAACCUACCUAUAAGACUGGGAUAACUUCGGGAAACCGGAGCUAAUACCGGAUAAUAUAUUGAACCGCAUGGUUCAAUAGUGAAAGACGGUUUUGCUGUCACUUAUAGAUGGAUCCGCGCCGCAUUAGCUAGUUGGUAAGGUAACGGCUUACCAAGGCAACGAUGCGUAGCCGACCUGAGAGGGUGAUCAGCCACACUGGAACUGAGACACGGUCCAGACUCCUACGGGAGGCAGCAGUAGGGAAUCUUCCGCAAUGGGCGAAAGCCUGACGGAGCAACGCCGCGUGAGUGAUGAAGGUCUUCGGAUCGUAAAACUCUGUUAUUAGGGAAGAACAAAUGUGUAAGUAACUAUGCACGUCUUGACGGUACCUAAUCAGAAAGCCACGGCUAACUACGUG
rnacentral:rRNA from 1 species